rnacentral:rRNA from 1 species
CAGCAGCCACGGUAAUACGAAGGGGGCUAGCGUUGCUCGGAAUCACUGGGCGUAAGGGGCGCGUAGGCGGCCAUUCAAGUCAGAGGUGAAAGCCUGGAGCUCAACUCCAGAAUUGCCUUUGAUACUGUUUGGCUCGAGACCGGAAGAGGUUAGUGGAACUGCGAGUGUAGAGGUGAAAUUCGUAGAUAUUCGCAAGAACACCAGUGGCGAAGGCGGCUAACUGGUCCGGUUCUGACGCUGAGGCGCGAAAGCGUGGGGAGCAAACAGGAUUAGAUACCCCCGUAGUCCCUGUCUCUUAUAC